GUCGUCCCCUCCCAGCAAUGAGCCUGUUCUUCACUUCGUACUAGAGUUUUACAUGGAGUAAUUUUAGAGUGGAGUAAUUUCAGAGAAUAAGGAUUGCGUGUUAUGCUGCAGUCUGCGGAACUCAAAAUUGACAUAGUGAAGAAGCAGAACACGUUCCUGAUUCAGCAUACUGCAAAGACGGUUCCCAUGCCUUUGCACUACCUACACAUGCAGUUGAUUACAGACUAUUAUUUCUGUGAUGGUUUGAUCAAGGAGUAUUUUCAAGUUGCUGCUUUGAAAGAUGAGGAGGAUAAAUCAAAACUCCAGGAUCACUCUAUGACUAUGCUAUAUUUUCUGAUAAUGUCCUUGCAGCCUCGGUAGUUGUCAGAUGAACUACCACACAUGCCAAGCAACCAGGUGUGCGUUGCAUAUUCAAUCUUGCAAAGAGAAUGGCUGAACUGUCUGAUACAGAAUAUUCAAAUAAAUCAAUCAAUUGAAUUUUCAGCAAAUACAAUCUUGUGAUUCUUGAAAAGCCAACUGGUCUUUUCUCUCAUCCUACAAAACAAUUCCUCCUGGAUAGUUCUUUAUGCUGUCAUAUACCUCACAUUGGUCCAGUUUCCUUUCGUUGCAUGAAGAGGUAAUUUUUCUCCAUGUUAACUAU